CUAUUGCCAAACCUGUGGAAACGCGGGGACGGAAAGCUCAGGAGUCUAAUGCUUAAAUGUAAUGACAGUCCGGCUGCAA
rnacentral:ncRNA from 1 species